AUGGGAUGGAGCUGGAUCAUUCUCUUCCUCCUGUCAGUAAUUACAGCUGUCCACACCCAGGUACAGCUGCAGCAGUCUGGUCCUGGGCUGGUAAAAUCUAGUUCCUCAGUGAAGUUGUCCUGCAAGGCUUCAGGCUACACCUUCAAUAGCUAUAUUAUAAACUGGGUGAAGCAGAAUCCUGGACAUGGCCUAGAGUGGAUUGGAUGGAUUUAUCCUAGAAAUGGUAAUACUAAGUAUAAUCAGAAGUUCCAGGGCAAGGCCACACUGACUGCAGAUACAUCCUCCAGCACAGCCUACAUGGAUCUAAGCAGCCUGACAUCUGAGGACUCUGCGGUCUAUUUCUGUGCAAGACACAGUGUUACAACCCACAUCCUGAGUGUGUCAGAAACUCUGGAGGAGCAGGAAGCUGCCCUGGGUCUGAGAUGA